UAGACGGAAGCCUGCCGGUUAGGGCAUUUAGCUGUUAACUAGAGUUUUAUGGGAUCGAGGCCCAUCUGUCUAG
rnacentral:tRNA from 1 species